AUUGAACGCUGGCGGCAGGCCUAACACAUGCAAGUCGAGCGGAUGAAGGGAGCUUGCUCCUGGAUUCAGCGGCGGACGGGUGAGUAAUGCCUAGGAAUCUGCCUGGUAGUGGGGGAUAACGUCCGGAAACGGGCGCUAAUACCGCAUACGUCCUGAGGGAGAAAGUGGGGGAUCUUCGGACCUCACGCUAUCAGAUGAGCCUAGGUCGGAUUAGCUAGUUGGUGGGGUAAAGGCCUACCAAGGCGACGAUCCGUAACUGGUCUGAGAGGAUGAUCCGUCACACUGGAACUGAGACACGGUCCAGACUCCUACGGGAGGCAGCAGUGGGGAAUAUUGGACAAAGGGCGAAAGCCUGAUCCAGCCAUGCCGCGUGUGUGAAGAAGGUCUUCGGAUUGUAAAGCACUUUAAGUUGGGAGGAAGGGCAGUAAGUUAAUACCUUGCUGUUUUGACGUUACCAACAGAAUAAGCACCGGCUAACUUCGUG
rnacentral:rRNA from 1 species